rnacentral:rRNA from 1 species
UACGUAGGGGGCUAGCGUUGUCCGGAAUCAUUGGGCGUAAAGGGCGCGUAGGUGGCCCGGUCAGUUCGUGGUGAAAGCGCGGGGCUCAACCCUGCGUCGGCCAUGAAUACUGCCGCGGCUGGAGCACUGUAGAGGCAGGCGGAAUUCCGGGUGUAGCGGUGGAAUGCGUAGAGAUCCGGAAGAACACCGGUGGCGAAGGCGGCCUGCUGGGCAGUUGCUGACACUGAGGCGCGAAAGCUAGGGGAGCAAACAGG